UACGGGGGGGGCAAGCGUUGUUCGGAAUUACUGGGCGUAAAGGGCUCGUAGGCGGCCAACUAAGUCAGACGUGAAAUCCCUCGGCUUAACCGGGGAACUGCAUCUGAUACUGGAUGGCUUGAGUUCGGGAGAGGGAUGCGGAAUUCCAGGUGUAGCGGUGAAAUGCGCAGAUAUCAGGAGGAACACCGAUUGCGAAGGCAGCUCGCUGGGACGUAACUGACGCUGAGACGCGAAAGCGUGGGGAGCAAACAGG
rnacentral:rRNA from 1 species